rnacentral:rRNA from 1 species
UCGAGAAUCUUCCACAAUGGACGAAAGUCUGAUGGAGCGACGCCGCGUGAUGGAUUAAGUACUUCGGUAUGUAAACAUCUUUUAUGAGGGAAAAAGUUUAUUGAUGGUACCUCAUGAAUAAGGACCUGCUAAACUCGUGCCAGCAGCAGCGGUAAUACGAGUGGUCCAAGCGUUAUCCGGAAUUAUUGGGCGUAAAGGGUCUGUAGGUGGCAUGAUUAGUCUCCCGUUAAAUCUUCAAGCUCAACUUGAAGUCUGCGGGGGAAACGGUCAAGCUAGAAUAUGUCAGGGGUGUGCGGAACUCAUAGUGUAGGGGUGAAAUCCGUUGAUAUUAUGGGGAACACCAAAAGCGAAGGCAGCACACUGGGAUAUUAUUGACACUGAAAGACGAAAGCGUGGGUAGCGAAUGGG